rnacentral:rRNA from 1 species
UACGUAGGCAGCGAGCGUUGUUCGGAAUUACUGGGCGUAAAGGGUUCGUAGGUGGCUCGCUAAGUCAGACGUGAAAUCCCUCAGCUUAACUGGGGAACUGCGUCUGAGACUGGCAAGCUUGAGUGCAGGAGAGGAACGCGGAAUUCCAGGUGUAGCGGUGAAAUGCGUAGAUAUCUGGUGGAACACCGGUGGCGAAGGCGGCGUUCUGGACUGCAACUGACACUGAUGAACGAAAGCCAGGGGAGCAAACGGG